GAUGAACGCUGGCGGCGUGCCUAAUACAUGCAAGUCGAGCGAACGGACGAGAAGCUUGCUUCUCUGAUGUUAGCGGCGGACGGGUGAGUAACACGUGGAUAACCUACCUAUAAGACUGGGAUAACUUCGGGAAACCGGAGCUAAUACCGGAUAAUAUUUUGAACCGCAUGGUUCAAAAGUGAAAGACGGUCUUGCUGUCACUUAUAGAUGGAUCCGCGCUGCAUUAGCUAGUUGGUAAGGUAACGGCUUACCAAGGCAACGAUGCAUAGCCGACCUGAGAGGGUGAUCGGCCACACUGGAACUGAGACACGGUCCAGACUCCUACGGGAGGCAGCAGUAGGGAAUCUUCCGCAAUGGGCGAAAGCCUGACGGAGCAACGCCGCGUGAGUGAUGAAGGUCUUCGGAUCGUNAAACUCUGUUAUUAGGGAAGAACAUAUGUGUAAGUAACUGUGCACAUCUUGACGGUACCUAAUCAGAAAGCCACGGCUAACUACGUGCCAGCAGCCGCGGUAAUACGUAGGUGGCAAGCGUUAUCCGGAAUUAUUGGGCGUAAAGCGCGCGUAGGCGGUUUUUUAAGUCUGAUGUGAAAGCCCACGGCUCAACCGUGGAGGGUCAUUGGAAACUGGAAAACUUGAGUGCAGAAGAGGAAAGUGGAAUUCCAUGUGUAGCGGUGAAAUGCGCAGAGAUAUGGAGGAACACCAGUGGCGAAGGCGACUUUCUGGUCUGUAACUGACGCUGAUGUGCGAAAGCGUGGGGAUCAAACAGGAUUAGAUACCCUGGUAGUCCACGCCGUAAACGAUGAGUGCUAAGUGUUAGGGGGUUUCCGCCCCUUAGUGCUGCAGCUAACGCAUUAAGCACUCCGCCUGGGGAGUACGACCGCAAGGUUGAAACUCAAAGGAAUUGACGGGGACCCGCACAAGCGGUGGAGCAUGUGGUUUAAUUCGAAGCAACGCGAAGAACCUUACCAAAUCUUGACAUCCUUUGACAACUCUAGAGAUAGAGCCUUCCCCUUCGGGAGACAAAGUGACAGGUGGUGCAUGGUUGUCGUCAGCUCGUGUCGUGAGAUGUUGGGUUAAGUCCCGCAACGAGCGCAACCCUUAAGCUUAGUUGCCAUCAUUAAGUUGGGCACUCUAAGUUGACUGCCGGUGACGAACCGGAGGAAGGUGGGGAUGACGUCAAAUCAUCAUGCCCCUUAUGAUUUGGGCUACACACGUGCUACAAUGGACAAUACAAAGGGCAGCGAAACCGCGAGGUCAAGCAAAUCCCAUAAAGUUGUUCUCAGUUCGGAUUGUAGUCUGCAACUCGACUACAUGAAGCUGGAAUCGCUAGUAAUCGUAGAUCAGCAUGCUACGGUGAAUACGUUCCCGGGUCU
rnacentral:rRNA from 1 species